rnacentral:rRNA from 1 species
GAGUUUGAUCCUGGCUCAGAGCGAACGCUGGCGGCAGGCCUAACACAUGCAAGUCGAGCGCCCCGCAAGGGGAGCGGCAGACGGGAGAGUAACACGUGGGAACGUACCCUUCAGUUCGGAACAACCAAGGGAAACUUUGGCUAAUACCGAAUACGUCCGUAAGGAGAAAGAUUUAUCGCUGAAGGAUCGGCCCGCGUCUGAUUAGCUAGUUGGCGGGGUAACGGCCCACCAAGUCUGCGAUCAGUAACUGGUGUGAGAGCACGACCAGUCACACGGGCACUGAGACACGGGCCCGACUCCUACGGGAGGCAGCAGUAAGGAAUAUUGGUCAAUGGACGCAAGUCUGAACCAGCCAUGCCGCGUGGAGGAUUAAGGCCCUCUGGGUUGUAAACUCCUUUUAUCUGGGAAGAAAUGCAUUUUUUCUAAAGUGCUUGACGGUACCAGAGGAAUAA